rnacentral:rRNA from 1 species
AACGAACGCUGGCGGCAUGCCUAACACAUGCAAGUCGAACGAGACCUUCGGGUCUAGUGGCGCACGGGUGCGUAACGCGUGGGAACCUGCCCUUAGGUUCGGAAUCACUCCCCGAAAGGGGUGCUAAUACCGGAUAAUGUCUUCGGACCAAAGAUUUAUCGCUUUUGGAUGGGCCCGCGUUGGAUUAGCUAGUUGGUAGGGUAAAAGCCUACCAAGGCGACGAUCCAUAGCUGGUCUGAGAGGAUGAUCAGCCACACUGGCACUGAGACACGGCCCAGACUCCUACGGGAGGCAGCAGUGGGGAAUAUUGGACAAGGGGCGAAAGCCUGAUCCAGCAAUGCCGCGUGAGUGAUGAAGGGCGUAGGGUUGUAAAGCUCUUUUACCCGGGAUGAUAAUGACAGUACCGGGAGAAUAAGCACCGGCUAACUCCGUG